AUAAAAGUAAAUUAAAUUUAACAAAAUCUUUUAUCAUCCAAUUUGGCUUAUAUACGGUAGGUCAUUUUAUGAAACAUCCAGUUAAGAAAAUAUAAUUUUCAAUACAUUUUACAUGAUUUAAGUGUGAAAUUGUGUUAAAGUGUCUUAAGUCUCUUAAUGCAUGUUUUUUCCUUCUGGAGCAUCAGUGAAUGUUUGAACCUUCUUUUAUAGUUGCAUAUGAGUCCCUUAGCUGUCCUCAGAUCUCAAAAAUACUGUAAAACCACAGAAUUUGUGGGAGCUGAAGGAUUUUUCUGAAGAACAGCAAGCAGUUUAACUGUUCAGGACCAACAAGGGACUCAUGAACAACUAUCACCAAAAAAAAAAAAAAAAAGCUGUGGAUCAUUCAGGUAACAACAGAGUAUUAAGAAUCAAGUAUAUGUACACUUUUGAAUGGGGCCAUUUUUAUAAAUUCAACUAUUAUUUUCUGUAGUGGAAUGUAUGUAAACAUCUUUUAUGUGAAAUGUCUUAUUCAGGUCAGAACUAAAUAAACAAUAACAUGCAUUUUGUAUGAUCCCUCUUAUGUUGGUAAAAUAAUUAACAUUUUGUAGAUUCUGCAAGGUUUAUGUAAAUAUGUGUGUGUGUGUAUAUAUAUAUAUGGCGGGUAAAAUAAGUAAAUAUAUUUCUAAACGUGCUGUUGGCAUGAAAUUUUCACCAGAUGUCGAUAAAAACCCAAGUGGUCCCACUUUAUAUUGUGUCCCUAAUACCUGUGUACUUACAUAGUAACUAAAUGUGUACAUAAUAUGUAACCACAGUGUAAGUACAGAUUGGUACAUAGUAUCUACAGCUCUAAUGUUUGUGUAACUACACAUAUGUAACAACCCACUGAAUGGUAUGUGUAAGUACAAAUGUGCAACAGGACAUUGGUAACAACACUUUUUGGUAAUGAAAGUACAAAUGUGUAACGAAAGUGUUACACUUUAUAUUAGAUUUAUCAUGUAAUUACUCUGAUGUUACACAGCAGCGGCCAGUAAGUUAGGCUUUACAUAGAAAUUGUGGUUGGUGUCCAGAAUGUUACACUUUAUAUUGUGGACAGUUCAUGAGGAGUUACCAUGUAAGUACACUGGUAUUACAGUGGUGCACCAACUCCUACUCAAAAUCCAACUCCUCCCACUUUACAUAUCCCUAAACCUACCCAUCUCCACCCCCUGGAUCCUAUUUCACCCCUAUACCUACCCAUCGCUGUAGAUACUAUGUACUAAUGUGUACCUACACUGUGGUUACACACUACAUACACAUUUAGUUACUAUGUAAGUACACAGGAAUUAGGGACACAAUAUAAAGUGGGACCGAAAUGAAAAAAAAAUAAAUAAAUAAAUAAAUAAAUAAAUAAAAUAAGUAAUGUGUAAUAAAAUGGAAUGACACAAGGAAAAAGUAUUAAACUACUGAAAUGUAAUAUGUCAUACAAAAGCCUUUGUUGGUAAUGACAGCUUCAAGACGCCUCCUGUAUGGAGAAACUAGUCACAUGCAUUGCUCAGGUGUGAUUUUGGCCCAUUCUUCCACAGUCUUCAAAUCUUGAAGGUUCUGUGGGCCUCUUCUAUGAACUCUGAUCUGUAGUUCUUCUUUUCUAUUGGAUUCAAGUCAGGUGAUUGGCUGGCCAUUCUAGCAGCUUAAUUUUCUUUUUCUGAAACCAAUUGAGAGUUUUCUUGGCUGUUUUUGGGAUCAUUGUCUUGCUGAAAUGUCCACCCGUGUAUCAUCUUCUUCAUCCUGGUACUGUACAGUAGGUGUUGGGACUAAACCAGCUAAUAUUAAUUUCCAUUGACAAGGGAUUGACAGUAUUGUUUUCUAAUUACUGAUAGAUUUGGCUUUCCAUGCCUUUUUGCACCUCCCUUUCUUCAUGUGUUCAAUACUUUUUCUCUAGGGUCAUCCCAUUUUAUUACACACGACAAUUUCAGAAAUUAUUUGUUCUUUGCAUAUACUUACAUCUGGUGAAAAUUUCAAGUCAACAGCAACUUUGGAAAUAUAUUUACUGAGAAAAAUGGUGAUGUGCUCAAUACUUAUUUUAACCACUGUAUAUAUAUAGUCGGAAAAGAAACUUAAUAAACAUAUAAAAUUGUAUCAGGCUUUUAGACCAAAUGCAUGUUGCCAAUUCAAUAAAUCUUGUAAUUCUUUCAUGCAACAGUGGACAGCUGAAUUGCUUGAUUUAUGGGAUUGUUUGAAUGAGAUACACAGAUAUGAAGCAGAAAAAGUCCUACCAGAAUGAAGACUUAUGUAGCACUGACAUUGGACUCAUGACCACAGUGGGCUGAACCAACGGUACAGUUGGCUGAACAACCCUUACAGCGGGCUGAACCAAUGAUACAGUGGGCUGAACAACCCUUACAGUGGGCUGAACCAAUGAUACAGUGGGCUGAACAACCCUUACAGCGGGCUGAACAAAUGAUACAGCAGGCUGAACGGAGACCCCAGUCACUGCUACUGCUGGUGUUGGUAUUUGUAUGUUCAUUUCUUCUUGUUCUACUGUAAGUGUACUAAAUGAUCUUGAUGGUUUUUCUUUUUCGUUUUUGUGCUCAACUGAGAUGCUCCUCGCUGGACACUGGUUCCUCUGCAGUCAGUCUUGUGCUUUUAUGAAUUUUGUCUUCUGAUGGUGAUGUAUAGAUGCAGGAAUCUAAUGGAAAGUGGUUUUGUAAUUUUGUUUAUGUUUUUUAAGGAUAAGGAUGUCAGAGACAUUUAACAUUGUGUUGACAUUUGCAUGAGCUUCUACUAGGGCUGCAAAGGGGCGAAAAAUUUAUUUCCAUGGGAACUUCAUCUGGGGAAUUUUGAAUUUGAAUUUGAAUUUUAUUAAAGGGAACAGCUCACUCCCCUAAUCAUAGUCUACAACUAUAUUAAACAAAAAAAAAACAUAUACAUACAAGAAAACAUACAUUUCAUACAAGCAUGAAAAUCCAAAUAUGCAAGCACCCUAAAAUAUAAAUAAAUAAAUUGAUAAAUAAAUAAUAAAUAUAAGUAAUUUCUCAAAAUAUAAUAGAAAAUAAUAGAAAUAAUAAUAAAGUUGUAAUAGUGAUAAAGAUUCUAAACCUAAAUUUAAAAACAAAAGCAAGUUAUUUUCAAGUGAGAUAAUAAAUUUACCUUGAAGAGACGAAAUUAUGUAAUUUAUCUAAGAAAAGAAGGGAGAUUGUUCAAUCAAAAGGAUCUUUAUAUUGAAAUGACCUACGGCCAACUUCAGUGAAGAUUCUACACUGUAAACCCGAACAGUACUACUAACUUUUAAAGAUUAAAAACACUUCAAUUAAAGCGAUAGUUCACCCAAAAAUUAAAAUUUGAUGUUUAUCUGAUUACCCCCAGCGCAUCAAAGCUGUAGGUGACUUUGUUCCUUCAGUAGAACACAAAUUAUGAUUUUUAGCUUCAGGCGUUGCAGUCUCUCAGUCGUGUAAUGUCUGGCAAAUGGUUACAGAAUCUAUGAGAGAGAAAAAAAAAAAACAUGCACAGAAAACUCCAAAUUAAACCCUGCGGCUCGUGACAAACAUUGAAGUGUAAAGACACAAAAUCAUCGGUCU
ensembl:lncRNA